rnacentral:rRNA from 1 species
ACAGGUUUCUGUAGGUGAACCUGCGGAAGGAUCAUUA